rnacentral:rRNA from 1 species
CCGGACCGGCGCACGGGUGAGUAACGCGUAUGCAACUUACCUAUCAGAGGGGAUAACCCGGCGAAAGUCGGACUAAUACCGCAUGAAGCAGGGGCCCCGCAUGGGGAUAUUUGCUAACGAUUCAUCGCUGAUAGAUAGGCAUGCGUUCCAUUAGGCAGUUGGCGGGGUAACGGCCCACCAAACCGACGAUGGAUAGGGGUUCUGAGAGGAAGGUCCCCCACAUUGGUACUGAGACACGGACCAA